UGAACGCCUCUAAGUCAGAAUCCGUGCUAGAAACGAUGAUGUUGGUCCCGCACAUGUUAGAUGUGUCAAAAUAGAGCGCAAGCUCGUGAACCAUACCUGACGGUCCUGCCCGUCCUGGCGGAAAUGCCGGGGCGGUCUUCCGUGAAUCGAAAUUUCAAUAUGCGCGGGGGUGAAUCCUUUGCAGACGACUUGAAUGGGAACGGGGUGCUGUAAGCAGUAGAGUAGUCUUGUUACUACGAUCUGCUGAGGCUAAGCCCUUGUUCUAUAGAUUUGUUCAAC
rnacentral:rRNA from 1 species